rnacentral:rRNA from 1 species
UACGUAGGGUCCGAGCGUUGUCCGGAGUUACUGGGCGUAAAGCGCGCGCAGGCGGUUCUCCAAGCCUGGCGUGAAAGCCCCCGGCUCAACCGGGGAGGGUCGUCGGGGACUGGGGGACUUGAGAGUGGCAGGGGUCGGUGGAAUUCCCGGUGUAGUGGUGAAAUGCGUAGAGAUCGGGAGGAACACCUGUGGCGAAGGCGGCCGGCUGGGCCAACUCUGACGCUGAGGCGCGAAGGCGUGGGGAGCGAACGGG